rnacentral:rRNA from 1 species
UACGGGGGGAGCAAGCGUUGUUCGGAUUUACUGGGCGUAAAGGGCGCGUAGGCGGUCAGCACAAGUCAGUUGUGAAAUCUCCGGGCUUAACUCGGAAAGGUCAACUGAUACUGUGCGACUAGAGUGCAGAAGGGGCAACUGGAAUUCUCGGUGUAGCGGUGAAAUGCGCAGAUAUCAGGAGGAACACCGGUGGCGAAGGCGGGUCUCUGGGCCGUAACUGACGCUGAGGAGCGAAAGCGUGGGGAGCGAACAGG